rnacentral:rRNA from 1 species
ACACGACUACAUUAGAUACCCGCGUAGUCCUAGCCGUAAACGAUACUCGCUAGGUGUCGGCCACGGUGCGACCGUUGUCGGUGCCGUAGGGAAGCCGUGGAGCGAGCCACCUGGGAAGUACGGCCGCAAGGCUGAAACUUAAAGGAAUUGGCGGGGGAGCACCACAACGGGUGGAGCUUGCGGUUUAAUUGGAUUCAACGCCGGAAAUCUUACCGGGACCGACAGCAACAUGAAGGCCAGGCUGAAGACUUUGCCGGAUUAGCUG